UCGUCAGUGGCGGACGGGUGAGUAACGCGUAGGAAUCUAUCCUUGAAUGGGGGACAACCGUGGGAAACUACGGCUAAUACCACAUGAUGCCUGAGGGCCAAAGACGAAAGUCGUUUGAGGAGGAGCCUGCGUCUGAUUAGGUAGUUGGUGGGGUAAAGGCCUACCCAAGCCUACGAUCAGUAGCUGGUCUGAGAGGAUGAUCAGCCACAUUGGGACUGAGACACGGCCCAAACUCCUACGGGAGGCAGCAGUGGGGAAUAUUGGACAAUGGGCGCAAGCCUGAUCCAGCAAUGCCGCGUGGGUGAAGAAGGUCUUCGGAUUGUAAAGCCCUUUUGGCGGGGACGAUGAUGACGGUACCCGCAGAAUAAGCUCCGGCUAACUUCGUG
rnacentral:rRNA from 1 species